GAAUAUCCCAAACUGUUAAGGACCCACCAGGAUCAUUGUGCUUCCAUCACCCAGCAGCAACCAAGGCAUAGCUGUGCUAUUAAUGCUGCUUCAGUGGAAACCAGGACAGUGUGGCUGUAUGAGAGAAAGGGGACAGAACAACCUUCCUCAGAUGAAAGAUUUCUAGGUGACAAGCAGCCAGACAAGGAGGAAUGUGAAGCUCCAUCAGGGAGUGAGGGAGACUGCCCCAAAACAGCUCCUGCAGAGUUGCAUGCCUUGGGCCUCCUGGUCCAGAGCAUGGAAACCAAGCUGCUCUCUCAGCACAGAGGUCACUUUGGAUAGUCCUUCAUUCUCCCUGGAGCAAGAGCAUUUGAAAGGGAAGUGUGUGAAAUGAAACACUGGAAUGAGGCAGCCAGUGCUUCCUGCUCCCAGCCUGACCAGAAAAAGGCAUGGAAACAUGAACAGCAUUUCUUUAUUUGUACUUCUUGUUUUUCAGCUCUCAGACUGAAUCAAAGUUUAUAAAUUCGUAAACACCCUGAAAUAAGAAAGUAAAAUGAAACAACCGUAUCUGUGGCUUUCAGACCUUCAAAAACUAGUUUAUGACAAAGAUUUACUUCUCACAACCUUUUCUGUUUUCAGAAUGGAUUUUCCACUAUCUAACAAAAAGAAAAGAGAGAAAAGAAAGGUCCUUUUAUCUACUAAUGGAGGGCUAUUCUCCUCCAUUUUAUUGCUGCCUUGAGGUACUGCAGAAGAUUAAUCAUUUUCCUGUUGAAGAGUCAGCAUAAAUUCAAGAAUUUAAUAAUGCAAACCAUAAAACCUCUUUUUAAUUAUCUAAUCACUGUUUUUUUCCUUGAAAAUCUGUGAAUAAAUUAUACUAAAAGUUAAGUAUCCUUGCCUUGUAUUAACCACCUUUACAGACAGUACCCUUGAAGCAGGAGAAGGUCUGAAAUAGACCCCAGAUUUGCUGGACACAGAGCAAUUUACUGGAUGAGAAGAAUGCCUGUCCUGGGGCCCUGCUUACUGGAACUCUUUGAAGAUCACAGCAAAAAAAAGGAUGAGUUUCUUUAGGACUGUCCUAUAUACAAUCUGUUUGUUAUAUGUAGAAUGAGUAAGUUAAUGUCUUUGCUUCUUCUGCCAGGCCCAGCACAAUUGAUGCCCAGACUGGUUACGUCUGCACCACAGAACUGUAGUCUUUGAGACACUGAUGUCCCAGGUAGGAAAAAACUUGCUAACUUCUCCUUUACUUAAUGGUCCUAUUUGCUGAGGAUAGAAAAGCUGAUAAAGAUCUGAUAAUUUAUCACUUUUGUUUUUUAGAGGUGCUCUUUUGUCUCUUCACAGUAAUUUUACCCUUCUAAACAUUAGUCCAUCUAGGUUUUGUGGCAUCAUUUUUUAGAACCUUAGCAAUAUCAAUGUUUGUGUGAUAGGCAUCUUAUUUUUGGACAUUAAAUUACUGGGUUCAUGACAAUUUGAUAUAAACAGAAAUAAAAGAUCUAUCAUCUAUUAACACAUCAACUGAUACUUUAACAUCUAUUGAUAUAGAGUCAAAAAACUCCAAAGAAUUGACUAAAGUGUAUUUAUUUAUUCAUUUAAUUGACAUGGAAAUGGAAACAAAGAUCUACUCUGCUAUGUUAAAGAGGGCAAUAGGCAGAUAACUCUUGUGGCAAAAUACAUAUAUAUGAACAUUAAUAUAAGGCUGGAGAUGCAACUACCUAGGGGCUGCAGAGGCAAUCUGAAAGGGAACACAGACAAUAUCAUGUAUCAGUAUAUUUAGUCUGUAGAUUACUUUUUUUCUUUUUUCUUUUUUUUUAUAUUGUAUUUUUCCUGAAUGUUGGCAGCUUAAAUAGUAUUCCUACUGGAAAAGGAUAGCAAAUUAUUCAGUUAUGAAGUACGGCCAGCUCCACUAUGGUCAACUGUGUUAUACUAAGGCUGAAUGUGAUCCAGUGGGUGAUUUCUAGUUCACUGCAAUUUUUUAAACUUAAAAUCCAAUCAGCACACCUUUUUAAAAUUGAAAAAGGAUUACUGCAUCUUUUUUUUUUUUUUCUUUUUCUGUUCAAUUCUCACAUUUAGAAGGGACAUAAUAUCCACAAGAGAAAAAUAAAAACCUUCUUUACUUAAACAAAAGAAAACAUGUAAUCCUAGAUAAUAUUCUCAUCCUUGAUUUUUCAUCAUUUUCAAGUCCCAGGAGUAUAACUAUAAUCCAGGUAUAAUGGCAUUUUUUAAGCCAAGAAACAGAAGCUAAAUGUCAGUACUGGCUUAAAACUAUUAACACAUAUGGGAGCUACCAGGCUGUCAGUCUUAGAGAACACAAAGACAAAAACAAGAAAAUAUUCACUCUGAUGUCAUCCAGAAAAAUACACAUAUUCUCAUUUUUCAGCUAUUAUUGCCUGGAAUUUCCAAUAUCCAAAAUUGUUGUAAGUGAAAACCGCACGAACUCUCUAUGAAAUCUUUCAAAUUAAAAGUUAAAGUUGCAUUGUGUCAUGAAGAUGAUUACAGUUGAUUUUUCUGAUUUUUGAUUCUCCUUUUUCUGGUGGUUUCUUUGAUGCUUUCCCAGUUUUUCUUCUACAUAAAGGUAACAACAGAUUAGCUUUAGGAGGCUUGUGUAUCCCAAUACUACGUUAAGAUGCUUCUAGAUGAAAGAAGCUGAGUGCAUCGUGAAUAUUGUCACCUUCAGCAGAAAGAGAGUGUUGACUCAGCGGGAAGCCUGAAGAAUUCCAGGUGUCCAAGUGCCUGAAAUCAUUACUAAGUGCUGGUAAGUGCUACAGAAAAUCCAUGGCAAAACACUAUAUUUUACUGUUCAUAUGCUUCAAAAUCUCUUGAUUAAAAGGUGGAGUGCAAGAGAGUGUUUUUAUAUUGAAAAAACGGAUUUUAGUCACUGAUUUUAGUGAACUGACUUACAAACUUAAUUUCAGUCUUUAUAAAGCUGUGUGUGGCGUAUUUGGAAACAUUGCUACACUUGAAUUUUGUGUGGUAUAACAAAUCCUUGUGCAGCAAGCAAUAGCAGGGUGGUUGCAGUACUUCCAGCAAUACUGGCUGCGUGCCGGGCUCAUACAAGGUGAGUCCACGUAAAGGGCAUUUCAUUUGAGGACAGAGCAGGAUUUAAAGCAGGAAAUCCAUCUGUUAAAAAUCCAUCUCUCUUUUGAGAAGUGUCACGAGCCUCUGCUGGUCUUUUGAAGCUCUGACAUCAAUGGACUGAAACUGAACAGGGCCCAGGCUAACACAGUGCUGUUUAUUUAUGUGGUGUAAUGUAAGUAAACAGCACAAAAGUAAUUUGGUGUUUUAUCACAGCAUGUGAUAAGCCAUUAUCUCAUGUUUUCUAUGGAAGAUAGUCUCAGCUGAAAAAGUUGGUAACACAGUAGGCUAUUAAUAGGAUGUGGGAUGUGAUUACUUUUUUGGAGUACUGCAAUAUGUGAUUACUUUUAGGGGUUGUAGAAAGAAACUAUUAAAUGAUAAUUAUAGGACUCUAUUCACUUUAAAGUUCUGUAAUAGUCCCAAACAUUGGAGUUUUCAUUAACUGUUCUCCACAGUUAAUAAAGCCAUUUUUCUCUGAAACUAGUAAUUUGCUCUGAAAGUGAUGGCACGGUAUGUAGCUGCUCAGAUUUACAAAUGAAAAAAGAAACUUUAAAUGAUCAUGUAAAUUAUUUGACUUGCCGAUAGUAACGCUCUCUCUGAAAAGUUCUUUCUAUGAAAGUAUGUAUAAUUUUAAUUAUCAUAUCUAAUAUUAAAAAAAUAGAGAAAUAAUUACACUGACAACAUGUAUUCAAUAAAGAUUAUACAAAAAUGAUGAAAUGACUGUUUGCAAAUGGAUGGAUUGCUUUAUAAUAUUUAUUUCCUAGUUACAAAAUUAUACAGGAAGAUUUGGUCUUAAGUAUCAACUAGUUUAAAUAACCUUUUCUACAAUUGUCAGCCUCUGCAUUCAACAUGUAUCAUCAUUUCCACUGCAAAACAUUUUUAUCUGGAUUACCUUUGUCAUUAAAAUAAUAAUUAUUAAAAAAAUUAAUUUGCUGCACGUGGAAAUGAAGGAUUAAUGCAGUUGUCUGAAGUAAGACCAAAAUAUCAUUUGCCUGCAGCUGUAUCAGAGCAUCUCAAUUCUAACCUAUCUGUUCUCUCUUAGAUUAAAUACUCUGAAACACUUUCAGUUUGGUGCAAUGACCAUAAAUUACCUCUUAAGGAGAAAUUUGGCCUCAGGGUCUCAAGUAAAUAAUUCAUUUUUAUUUACUUCUCUAAAAAUACAUUCAUCAAUUUUUCAAAAAUUGUGUUUUACUACAUUAAAGAGAAUAAAUAUGUCCUCUUCACUGGAUCCUUUUUGAAUUGCUUAUGUAUGUACAAGUGUCAAGCACUAGGCAACAAUAUUACUUUGAUCCUUCAAGAAUUACGGAGUUUUUGUUUUGGAACUCUGAUGACAGCUACCCUCAUUUCAGGUUUUUAUAGAGGCAGAAAGCAUACCAGAACAAAACACUUGGGAGAAAAAAAGUUGUUGCUGGUGAUGUUGCCUUUUGUAUUUCUGGCAGUUGAGACUGAAUCCGUUGGAUUCAUUAUUUAAGCCAGUUCAAAUGAGUACUACAUUUCAGAAAAGAGUCCGAGUUUCCUUCAAACAUUAAAGUUUGCUAAUUAAAACUAAUUUCUCAGGAACUGAAACUGUAUUUUUUUUCCCCAUACAGGAAAAAAACAAAUGAACAUUGAACAUGAAUGUCAUAAUGAUUACCACUAAGAAAAUAUAAUAAAUAUUUAUAAUGGCUGAAUUUGUAUUUUCAUUUUCUCUCUCUUUUUAAGUCUCUGGCUUCCUGAGCCUUUGGCAAGUUAGGUUCACUGAUGUUACCAUGUCAGAAGAUCAAAUAAAUUCUGGCUUUCAUCUAUGCCUUUUUUUUUCCCUGUACAAAUUUCUUACCUCUUAUUGUACUCAUUGUGACUGCAGUACUUCAUUAUAAGAAUACCUCAUUAACAGAAAAUUGGUAAAGGGAUCAUGAUUUCUCGUGUCAUUAGUGAUAGGACCAGAGGGAAUGGCUUCAAGCUACGGCAGGGGAGAUUCAGGCUUGACAUUAGGAAGUAUUACUUUUCAGAAAGGGUGGUCAGGCACUGGAAUGGAUGCCCAGGGAGGUGGUGGAGUCACCGAGCCUGGGGGUGUUCAAGGAAAGGCUGGAUGUUGUGUUGAGGGACAUGGUUUAGUGGGAGCUACUGGGAAUAGGUGAACAGUUGGACUGGAUGAUCUUGAAGGUCUUUUCCAACCUUGGUGAUUCUAUGAUUCUAUGAUUCUAUGAUACCUAUAUGCUGAGAUGCGCCCCAUCUGGAUUUCCAUUUCAAGGCAAUAAUUUUGUACAGUAAGUUAGUGUGGUACUGACUUUUUCCAUUAGACCCUAGUCUGCAUUCUCUUGUGGCCCAAAAAAUAGCAAGCACAGUUAGAUGAACAAAUAAAUACAGACAGUGUAAUGGAGGAUGUAUUUCUCCACUAAUUCUAGCUUACCAAGUAGUUUUGUUUAAAUCAAAGAGCUCUGCCAUUCACAUUUAUUGAACAAUUUUGUCGGUGCUUUUCACCCUCUUCCUGGAAAAUGAAGAGGCUGUGGAUUUACAUGCAGAGCAUUAUUAUGUAAUUUAACAUAUGUAUUCAGGAAAAUGAAAGUGAGUUAACAAGCACUGCAUUAUUCCAAGAACAUCCCCAUAUUUGAGCUGUAUUUCUUCUUCCUUUAACUCUAAACCUCUAGAAAAGAGGCACUCUGUCAAAAUUAAUGAAAAUGCUGUUGCGUGACAUUAAGUUGGGCAUUAGUUUUCCUUUGGCCAUUAUUAUAAAGGAAACCUGCAU